UGAUCCGCGUUUAGCCACUUGCGCCGCCAACGGAAAAGUUCCACAUCAAAAACCUGGGGUGAUGGUAGGUCAUCUGCACAGUACUGCAAAGCGGCUUGUACAGGGUUUCCUUCUCGAGACAUUAGCAAGGCUGGAAGUAGGCACAGGAGGGGAGACAUCACAGCAUCAUUACUGGGGUCAAAUUCUGUGUCUUUCUCAGAAUUAAGAUGAUCCGACAGAGGAAUUGUGAGCGCUCUUGUUCCUGCUUCGACAUUGCUUCGGUGCUGUUGCCGAUCAACAACGCGUGGCAUAGAUGGCAGUUUCCCCGGAUUGAUUUGCAAACAGCCGCUCAUUUGACAUACCUUCUAGUGCUCUUAGUAUAGAUGGCAAAAGCGCAAAGAAAACUUCAUGUGCCUCAUGCCUUU